rnacentral:rRNA from 1 species
GCCUAACACAUGCAAGUCGAACGGUAACAGGAAGAAGCUUGCUUCUUCGCUGACGAGUGGCGGACGGGUGAGUAAUGUCUGGGAAACUGCCUGAUGGAGGGGGAUAACUACUGGAAACGGUAGCUAAUACCGCAUAACGUCGCAAGACCAAAGAGGGGGACCUUCGGGCCUCUUGCCAUCGGAUGUGCCCAGAUGGGAUUAGCUAGUAGGUGGGGUAAAGGCUCACCUAGGCGACGAUCCCUAGCUGGUCUGAGAGGAUGACCAGCCACACUGGAACUGAGACACGGUCCAGACUCCUACGGGAGGCAGCAGUGGGGAAUAUUGCACAAUGGGCGCAAGCCUGAUGCAGCCAUGCCGCGUGUAUGAAGAAGGCCUUCGGGUUGUAAAGUACUUUCAGCGGGGAGGAAGGGAGUAAAGUUAAUACCUUUGCUCAUUGACGUUACCCGCAGAAGAAGCACCGGCUAACUCCGUGCCAGCAGCCGCGGUAAUACGGAGGGUGCAAGCGUUAAUCGGAAUUACUGGGCGUAAAGCGCACGCAGGCGGUUUGUUAAGUCAGAUGUGAAAUCCCCGGGCUCAACCUGGGAACUGCAUCUGAUACUGGCAAGCUUGAGUCUCGUAGAGGGGGGUAGAAUUCCAGGUGUAGCGGUGAAAUGCGUAGAGAUCUGGAGGAAUACCGGUGGCGAAGGCGGCCCCCUGGACGAAGACUGACGCUCAGGUGCGAAAGCGUGGGGAGCAAAACAGGAUUAGAUACCCUGGUAGUCCACGCCGUAAACGAUGUCGACUUGGAGGUUGUGCCCUUGAGGCGUGGCUUCCGGAGCUAACGCGUUAAGUCGACCGCCUGGGGAGUACGGCCGCAAGGUUAAAACUCAAAUGAAUUGACGGGGGCCCGCACAAGCGGUGGAGCAUGUGGUUUAAUUCGAUGCAACGCGAAGAACCUUACCUGGUCUUGACAUCCACAGAACUUUCCAGAGAUGGAUUGGUGCCUUCGGGAACUGUGAGACAGGUGCUGCAUGGCUGUCGUCAGCUCGUGUUGUGAAAUGUUGGGUUAAGUCCCGCAACGAGCGCAACCCUUAUCCUUUGUUGCCAGCGGUCCGGCCGGGAACUCAAAGGAGACUGCCAGUGAUAAACUGGAGGAAGGUGGGGAUGACGUCAAGUCAUCAUGGCCCUUACGACCAGGGCUACACACGUGCUACAAUGGCGCAUACAAAGAGAAGCGACCUCGCGAGAGCAAGCGGACCUCAUAAAGUGCGUCGUAGUCCGGAUUGGAGUCUGCAACUCGACUCCAUGAAGUCGGAAUCGCUAGUAAUCGUGGAUCAGAAUGCCACGGUGAAUACGUUCCCGGGCCUUGUACACACCGCCCGUCACACCAUGGGAGUGGGUUGCAAAAGAAGUAGGUAGCUUAACCUUCGGGAGGGCGCUUACCACUUUGUGAUUCAUGACUGGGGUGAAG